rnacentral:lncRNA from 1 species
GGAAACGGGAAUGGGGGAGCAUUGGGGUUUGUAACAUUUUUUCUGUUUCCCUUUCACAAUAGUCUGGUUGGUGCAUGUGGAGCUGGGCUCACAAAGCCUCCCUGAAGUGCUUGGAGUCCCGCAGGGCUCCUCACAGUGCAGGUUUGCUGUGUGUAUGCCUAUCAACAAUACAGCUGGGCCCAGCAACGGGCUCCAGCUUUGGGCAAAUAUUUCUACUGCUUUUCCUUAAUCGCUUUUGAGGGGAGGAGGGUGAGAUGGAUUUGAGAGGUGGGAGGGGGGAAAGGUUUGUGUAUGUGUGAGGGAGGGGGAAACCAGAUGACUGGAGGGGGAUUUAUCUCCAGCUUCUGUGGUCCAGGGUUUUACAGGGAGCUUUUGUCAGCGUUCAGCAUCCAUGUUAAAAACUAGUGGGUCUGGGGGGCAUCCGAGGGAGGAGGGAGAUGUAGGCAGACAACACAUAAUGCUUUGGACUAAGCCAGUUUCCUUUUUUCUUUCCCUUUUAGUUGGAGACAUUAGCCAACAUGCCCCUUCUGAAUGGGUUCAUCCAAAGUGGUGGCGUAGGCUGAAAGCAGGCUUUUCUUGUGCUUGGUAUCUCUAUAGCUUGUUUCUGCUUAACUGUUUUGUAUGUUUUUAUACUUAGUUCACAGGUAGUAGAGGAAUAGUCUCUCAAUUUCUAGUUUACUUGAUCUGGGUCCCAACUUCAGUUGUGGAAGAAAUCAGAGAAAUGAUGUCUGUUUGAAGCAAGUUAUUGCAGCUUGACUGCCUGAUAGGUUUUGGCCUUGAGAAUUCCUUGAGGCCGUUCUUGUAGUCCUGGGAUAGUCAGGUAAGCUCUUACCUACAUGCUGUUUCUGUCUUCUUGUUCAAAAACUGCAGCACAAGUAUAUAAAUGGCAUGGAAGUUUUUGUUGUUUUGCAGUGGUGGGUUUAUUUAAUUAUUUAAUUAUUUAUUUAUAUUUUUUGCAUCGUGAGGAAAAAGUAAGCAGGCCACUUCUUUAAACAUUCCUGUUAAUCCCUGCAAGGCUUGCAGCAAGCCUACAGUUCAGGGCUGAAUUCUUACAUUUAACAAUCUGUUGCAUGCAUUAUUUGCUGUGUAUUAAAUACAAAAAUGUCUUCUUAGACCGGAUGCUUUUGUUAGAGUGGGAAUGAUGUCAGAAGCUUCAUCUUUGUUCUAAAUGCAUCAUGUCAGAAUUUAAAUUUGGGCAGGAGAUGCUUAACUAUGUCAUUAUUGUCCUGGAGCAGGGAAUACUCGUGCUCUAAAAUCGUAGUUCCGCAGAUGCUUCAAACCGAACAUAACUAGGGUCUGCUCAUAUGGAGACUGGACUGUCUGGACUCUCUGGCCAAGACCUGGCCCAUCUUCCAUUUCCAGUCAGUUAAAUCUCCGCAAAAUCUCCAAAUUGAAUCCAGUCUCCAGUGAUGGCCAGAAUUUAGUAAGUAAAGACUUAAUUCUGUGUCAGUGUAUGGGAGAAUACAUGGAUUGAGAGAAGGCAAAGCUAAUAUGCUAUGAUAAAACUGACACUGAAGUUCUUAGUGUGGAUAUAGCAAAUACUUUCAAUUAAAGGACAUCCUUGGCUCUUACUUGGUGAUUAGGAGUCCUUUUUAGUGAGAAGAAAUAACUGACGUGCCACAUACCCACCUGUGUUAGAAGAACGUGCAUAACUAUCCUUACUGAGACUUUUUUGAAGCAUCUUUAUCCUUACUGGCAUCAGUUGACUACCUCUUUCUUCUACAUCAUUCACAAUACAAUAUUUGUAAAGGCAUUCUAUCCUUAGCCCAUCACAACUGCAAGUGAGGGAAGGUCUGUAGGAAGAGAGAACAACUUUGGUUAGUUAGACUAAAAUGCUGUGUUGAGCAGGAACUCUUCAGGUAUUCUCCCACGCUAAGGACUGCAGAGGAACUGUAGUCUAGAUGAUGCUUUCUGGGCUGAGCGCUCCCUUGCUGGCCUACAGGCAAUGUGGAGGAGAAAGCAGCCUAUUUCUGUGUGAUGUUAUGCAGUACUGAAGAUUAUAUUGCAGUGUGAAAAAUAACAUGGAGUUCCCUAAGGAGAGACUGAGAGGAAUUUAGGAGGAAAGAGUAACAGAAGAGAACUGCUGUGGAAAUAGGGAAGCUUGUUAGGUGACAGAAAAGGGAUGAAAGGAAGCAAGUGGUUCUAGGUAGCAGGUGUGAGAUGCUGCCUCAUGCUCUUUUCUUGCCUAUCUCCUGCUCCCAAGUCUCACUUUUAUGUAGUGCCCCCUUCCCCCCCUCCACCCCCCCCUCUAAACAGCUUGUAUCUUUUAGGUUCUUUUCUGUUUCCUGUCCGUCAUCGUGGGUAAAAGAAAUCUGCAAGUUUGAAAGGCCUGUGACUGACUGGUUUGCCACAGUGUUAGGUACCACCUGGGUUCUUUCUAUUCCUUCUGUUGUGUUUUAUGAGCAUCCAGUACUUCAGCAUGUUAGCAUGUUCACUCUUCGGGUAGAAGAUGUUGUAAAAGGGAGCUGAUGAAAUCGUUUGCAGCAGUAAGAUGUGAAGGCAGAUGAAGCUGUCUGUGUUCGUGGGCAGCCAGACCAUUAGUGAUGAAUGUCACUGGAAGGCCUGUAUGGUAAUUCAGCAUUCGUGUGCUGUAAGUAAUAUGAUGAUAGUGGAUUUGUUAGGUGGUGUCAUAUAGUGCAAAAAUGGCAUAUUAAAGGCUGCGCAGAUGAAUUUAGUUCUGAGUUUUCAUUAAAGCUUUUUUUCCUCCCCUCUCAUGAUAUAUUUCAAAAUUACUGUGUUAUCAAUGGCAAUUGGACUUGCUUCUGAAGCAUGUUAUAUAGGGUAUUAUCUUUGUCAGGCUGUUGAUCAGUCCUGCUGUGAGAAUUUUUGUACACCAGGAAGCAAACUUCUAAAAUUAACAUCUGAGAAAGUAAAUUUACUAAAAUCCUCCAGAUUUGGUAACAGUUGUGCUACACCUGACUCCUCAUUUCUCUUCUGUGGAGGGAAAGAGCACUGGUGUUGGGGAGUCGCAGUAUGUCUGCUCUUAGCAUGCUCUCUACUGCUACCUCUUUGGUUAACUUGUUCCUCAUGGAGCUUUCACUGGAGUUUAAUUCUUUGCACUGACAUUCCUCAUUCUGGAGGGGCCUGUGUGUGCGUAUAUAAUUUUAUUUUUCCCUUGGAGCUGUCCCAUAGUAUGUCCCUUCUGCUCUUCUAGGAAGAGGAGAUCCACAUCUCUCCUAGCACUGGCAGUUGUGGCUUCUUUCACCUCUUUGACCCAUUCCCUGGUGAACGAGAGUUGAGUAAAGGCCACAGGUCUGCCCAUGAAAAACACAAGGAACAUAAGUUGAGAUCCAUAUUAAUUUCCCACCGGAAACUGCCACUCUGUAAUUACAGUUCCAACAUCCUCCAGAAGAAAAGGACUCUGUCCCCCCCUGCAGCCCCCCUGGCAAACGCGAUGCUCCUUGCGGCAGGGAAAGCAGGCGUGGAGUGGAGUAGGUCAGCUGGGGCCUGAGAAUGCUCCCUGUCUGUGUCUUCAUUGCAGAAGGGGGAUGGGCGCUCUUCUUCCUCCCAGCACCUCCUUGUCCCUUCCCCCAAAUCUCCCAAGUAAAUACAAUUUUAUUUUAUUAUAUUGCUGCUGAUCUGCUGUUGUUUUUCAUACAAAAAAAGUGGAAGGGGCAAGAAGGAACGAAAGAGUCUGGCGACAGGAAGAAAUGAAUUGCUGAAGAAUGACACUGGCAGGGACUAUUGUUCAUUUUAACGCUGGAGUAGGAGCAGAGAGAAAUGUUCACACGCCAUUCUUGGGCAUCCUGCUGGGCAGGCUAGGAAAGGGGCAUUCCAGCUGGUCAUGAGAUUUGGCCGGACAGUUUGAAUUGGGCUGAAUAGAGUGCUAGCUGUUUUUAUAUUAUUUUUUUUUCUUAUAAAGAAGCCUACUGAUUAAUUGCAAUGGAACCUGAUUAAAGGGAGAGUCUGAAACCCGCAUAGACAUUACAGACAUAAAGCUAUAUAAUGCCUACCAGCAUGUGAUAACUGGGCCUUAACCCUUUAUGAGGCUCAUGGGGGAGGGAGGAGCUCACCAAAGUCAUCAUUGCCCACUCUGUGUUUACAUGUUUGCGAGAGAGAGGACUUGUCAUUUGGGGACAAAGUUGUGUGCACAGCAGGAGACCUGUGAACAAACUCUAUCACAUGAAAUGCUAGUGGCUGAAGAAUGACAUUAAGGUUUAGGGGUGUGUUAGGAUGGAGAGGUUGUACAGGAAUUUGCUCAAAUGUUGCUGAUUAUAUUUUAAUAAUUUUGCAGAAUCUAGUAGCCUUCGUCCCUACCUAUCUCUUCUGUGCUUUCCUAAAUGCAGCAACAGGAAAAAUCCACAAAGGGAGCUGGAAAGUUCCACAGGUUCCUUGUGGAUUUUUGCAAACAAAUUUGGUAGGAAAAUGAAUAACCCUGUGAUGGAUAUAACAUGAAUUACAAGGUAUGUAUUUAAAAGAAAGUUGUAAUCUGUGAGAGAACAAAUCCGUAGUUCAGGUGAAUGCAGGUACUAGUAUGGAGGUUGAAAGUAGAGAGAGAACGUGGGCGUGUUGUCUCAGCGCUGAAAGGACAAAGUUUCAAGAUGCUCUGAGAUGAGACCCCUUUCUAUGAGCGAAAGCUUAUUAUUUAUCCGUUUCUUUUCAAAUCAAUGAGAAGAAAAAGGCCUAAGUCUACGUUCUGGUUUUCUUUAAACUGUUCUAUUUAUCGCUCAACUAAUUUAGCGUCUGGACAUGGUUGAAUGCUCUCUGUUAAUUUUCCUUCUUUAAUAUCAUGUUUGUUGUUUGCUUCUUCUGUUGAGAAGCACAGAUGAUUUAUUCAAACAGACUCUUCAGUCUUUGAAAGGGGUCUCUGUGUUGCAGUGUGAAGAGAUUUGGGAGGGGGAACACUCUUGCCCCCCAGCAAUGUUCAGCUUCAAGUGUGGCACAGUAAAGGACAGCAAUGUAAGAACUCUAAUGAAUACACUCUCCAGACGUUUUAUCCUUUUCUACAGCAAACUCUGCACGUGUGUGCCCACUGGCUCGGAAAUGUUUCCGUAGAGAGGUGAAAAGAGCAGGGAUACGUUUGGUAGCAAACAAAGGUCCUUUGUGGGCCCUUUGGGAACAUGACUGAGGGAUUACUUUUUCCUAUCUAAAAUCUUCCAAUUCAUCUCUCUGAAUAAGAAGGUUCUGUAGAGACAGUAAGAGAUUCCUGAGUUGGAAGAUGCUCAUCUUACUUUUUUUUUGUCCUGCAUCUGUAGUUGCUUCCAUCAGAAGCUACUGGCUGCGUAUCACAGGAAGCAACUGGCAAAUGGGGGAGUCUUCAUGCCCAGCUCCUUCCUACUAGGAGAAGGAAAAAUAUGUUAGAACAGACAGAAAUAUCCUCUCUGCAUAAACACUUGUUUUAGAUGGAGUAUACAAGGUAAGAAAGGCAUGCUAAUUCAAUACAAUUCAUCAGUAACAUGGAGAACGGCAUGAAUAGAUAGUUAGGAUAUUGUGCUGUUUUCACUACCUUCUUUUCCUGAAAAGAGAGCUUUUUGCAAGAGCUGUUUCUGCAGGUGGCUAUGUACCAAUCCUCAGAACGUAGGAUCUGUUGAGAUCCCAAUUGGAGACUGGGAGUGAAGAUCUGCUUAUAGCUGACCUGGGAGUUAAGGUUCAUGGUAAUUCAGCGUUGACAUGGACAGGGAGUUAGGAAUAGCACUUUCCUCAUUCUUAUUCUGCAUUUCAAAUGCAAAGAGAAGAGGAUGGAUGAGAACCAUUGUAGCUGCAAAAAAAAUCUAGCAGAAAGCGAGUGGGAGGUUGGAUGGAGGAGUCACUUCUGCAUGAAAAUAUUCUUUCUUGGUGUCUUCCCGUAUCUUGCUUCUUAUUUCUGUUCCUUCUGUUUGUUUGUACCUCCCCCUCCUUCCUCCCUACCACCUACUAGUCCUGCUCUAGUCCUUUCCUGCAGCUCUGUUAACGUUUAACAAAUUUCCCUUCAGUUCCUAUGUUUCUUUUGGCUGUAGCUCAAGGCAAACUCCCCAGAUCCAAAACUAAUUUAGGGCUCUGAGCAACAGUAGCAUUUAAAUGUUGGCUUUAUGCCAUCAGGCGGGCAGCCUCUUCACUGAGAAGAAAUCUAAUUCCAGUGUUUAUUAGAUCAACAGUGGCCUCAGGGCUGGACUUCCUUUAAUGUUGGCCUUUUAAUAAUUGUAAGGCUAAUACAGGAACUUGGGACCCGCAGGAGGGUCUCAGGAGCCUGGUUCUGACCUUGUUUUUGGGAAGCAGAACUUGGAUCUUUCUUAAUUUGGGUCAGGGAGCUUAGGGGAGCAGGCAAGUGAAGUGGGGCAGGAGGUGUUAUUUUGACUUCCCAAGCAGCGUGUGUAAAUCCUUCCACAUUUGUGCAGUAGUGACUUUGAUUUCCUGCAAGUUUGUUUUAAUGAGCUCUCUGGGGUAAGGACCUAGGUAGGGCAGGGCAAGUUGUGCCCUGUUUAAGAAGUGGACUGGGACUGGGUAGGAUCUGUGUUAAUUUCUCAGUUUGGCCACGAUCUCUUUGGGAAGUCACUGAAGGCUCAUGUUUCCAAGCAGGAGGAGUGCCUGCGGUGGGAGGUAUGAGUACUUUGCAAUACCGAGAGUCAGGUCUAAAUCUCUUUGGCCAGAUGUGUAAUGAAGCUUAAAGGUCUAAUUUUCCGCUGGUUUUAAAUGACUUGGGCACGCAAAUACUCACCAAUCCGUGCUGUUGGGCUUCCAUUUCUGUUUUUGAAACGAAGAUAAUACUUCCCAGCUCCUAGGGGUGCUGAAAUUGUCCAUUAGUAGGAACAGGUGCUCUGACACUGCAGUAGCGGAGGCCACACAAAUACCUUGAAAGGUGUGGUUCCAGAACGAGGCUGCUUUGCUCUUGCUGCAUCUUCCUCUGCCUGCCUCAACAGUGUUGCUAUUAUUUCACUGAAGGUGAAGGUGAAACCCAAUGUCAACAAUACGAGAUUGGUUGUAAAGAAUCCCAUGGUGCUUUUUCACUGUUGUGGUUAAUAUUUCUCGAGUGUGAAUAUGAAUGAACUGUGGAGCUUGUGGGUUUGUACAGGCAGCACCUGAGACCUAUGGCUGAAGCAGAGGAAGAGUUUUGUGACCACUUUGUAAGUGAUGCGAAGGAGUGUGAAGUCCAGGCACUGUGGGAGGUGCAGGACAGUGCUUCGUGAGCUGCCUGGAAAUCAAGCAAAUGCGGGUGGGCUGAAUAGGGGCUGAUGUACAGCAUAGCUGCCCUGCAGUAACCCCAACUCUGAAGUUCUUGUUUUUCCUGUUGGCAAUUCUAUUGGGAAGAGCUUGUCCCAUCUGAGCCCAUAAAACAUACUUGUGUUAAGCUUGUGUUUUUGAGUGCAAGUUUGUAUGUAUAUGUGUGUGUAUAUAUGUAUAUAUGCAUAUAUAUUGAAAUAAAUGUUACUGGUGAAAGUUUUUUUUUUUUUUUCUUUUUCUUUUUUCCUUUUAAGUUAAUCCAGUUCUCUGGUAAGCACUGCAGUUGCUGUGAUGUCUCUGUGGUUGUGUGGUACCUCUCUUUGCCAGGCCCAACCCUGUUCUUCCAGCUCAGUCUGGCCAGCUAAUAAUUGCCCCUUUGCUGUUCAUCCUCUGAGGGCAGCAUAAUAUCAUAUGUGGGGGUUAUUUUUUUAAAUUUUUUUUAGAAAAAGCAAUACAGAACAACUCUCUUUGUCCCAAGAUAGCUCUGUUUAUCUUGUGGCUUUCGCUUUUGAAGUCCUCCUGCAUGUGGGAUUGCAAAAAUGAGCUUCUGCCUCCGUAUUGCCACAAAACCACACUGCGUAUCCUACCCCUUCCCUGGAGAACUCCUCUGCUAAGCAGAGCUAUUGUGGUUGACUUCCUAGUUUCUUGUGUGGCAAAGAGCUGGAAAGCUACAAAGCUCAGAUGCUCUACCACUAACAUGAUGGCCUCUUUAAAGGGAACCAAAAUAAACUCCUUAAAAUGUCCCUGUAAGAGAACAGUCUCCAUCUUGUCCAGGAACCUGGCCUUUUCUUUAUCAUACCAUAAUGAUGAGAAGAAUUCCACUGCGGCCCACAAGAGCCAAAAUGGGCUUUUUUGAGGGGGAGACCUCCUGUUGCCUCCCCACCCUACGUGCCUGGGCAACUGCAGUACUGCUAGAAUAUUAGGUUCCCUGAAAAGGAGGACUUUGCAAUGCUUACAUCUUUUUUCCAGAAAUAAAAUUAUGAAUAUCCAUGCUGGUGAGUUCUGGGAUUGAUCAGGACAGAGGAAUUUGGCUUUUAUCUUGUACUGGUUAGAUGAACAAAGGAAUAUUAUGUCUCCUAGAUCUCAAGAAAAGUUGGGCAUGUGCUCUGAAAGGAAAACGUCCUUGCAGCUAGUCCACCAUGUGGAGCAUCAAAAGGAUGAAGGAGGCUGAGUAAUAAUUUCCUGUGGAAGAAGCUUAUUCAGUAUAUUACAGAAUCAGCACAGGAGAGAACAACACUGAAGGCCAACAAUGGCAUCAGAAUGUAUUCUGAGCAAGGUUACGAGUGCUUUGUAAAUCCAGAUAGCACUGGUUUGGACGAGCAGUGAUGUGCUAAUUAAUAAGUCUCAACAAAGCUUAAAUCGUGCAGUAGAGGAAACUGAAAGCUCAAGAAGCUUCUGAAUCUAAAGAGAAAGGAGCCAAUUUCUUAGAGAAUCUGUGGCAAGUAGAUGGUUGUGUAGGAUCUUUUGUGCUCUGAAUAUGCUUAUCGGACUUUUAAUCCUUGCAACUCAGGUCCAGAAGUGACACUUUUAGUUUUCCUUGGUUCUAUGAAGCCUCUGAGUGCUACUUUUCAAGCAGGGAUGGCAGCAGUUCUUCCUGCUCUUAUCUGUCCUGUUUUGAGCACUCUGUUUACUUAGCCCUCUUUCCCUCAUCUGUGAGACAGUUUAGCUGCACUUCAACAGGUACAGUUUAUAGGCAGUAGAUUAAGGCAAAUCAGCAUUAAUUUCAGUUUCUCUUAAUGCUGUGUUCUCUUCUCUUAAUGAUUGUUUCUUCAGUAGCAUCUUCAGGACUGGGAAGCCAUUUUUCAAGAGUAUAGGUGAUAUAUAGCUGUUCUCCUGUAUGAAACUGAAAUCUUAACUUGGUUUCUGUUUGUUAGUUGUUGGAUUUUUUUUUUCAUUUGUUUUCAUUUUAAAGCAUUUUAGUGCAAGCCAGGUUGAGUGAGACCAUGCACUGUGAGAUGACAGCUCUGUCCUUCUCAGCUGCUACACAAGGGAUUUAGUGAAAUCCCAAAGACACUCAACUUGGAAGAGGAUGUUAUAUCAAUGUGAGCAAAACCAGAGUGAAUGCUGGAAUUGUACUAACUGUUUGUUUGUCCUAAAAAAUAAUACUUAGGCUACCUAAGCUAGAGGAGAUGAAUAAGAUGAAGGAGGAAAGCUUCAGAAUUUUUGAAGUUCUGAUUCUUCCAAGUCAUCUCCAGGAAGUGACAGUGUAUCCUUGCUGUGACUGUAAUAAAACUUGGGUACUCCUGUAGCUGAGGCAACGUAAAGUACACUGUAGGAUAAUUGCUUCUAGUAUUUACUUCUUUUGCUGACUUCUUCAGAUGGAUUGAGCUCUGUGCUUUUGUGACCAGGCUGCUACCAAAACCAAAGUUAGCUAGUUCAGUGCUAACUUCAGAUCUGCAGUACGCCUUAUGGACAGCAACAACAGAAACAACCCAUUUGCAAAACAGGUACUGUAGCUGUGAAAGAAAGCAUCUAUUUUGCAGAUAACCUGUUUUCCAAAACUCCUCCUCUUUCUGAAGGCUGUGUAACAUGGCAGCAUUUGAUUUAAGAGUUACGUUGGCUCUGGAGGAGCAGGUGCACUUUGCCUGCAAUUUUAACAUCAUGGAUGUGGAUUUCACAGUUGCCCCAAAUUUAUACAUCAGCUGCUGUCAUAGAAAUAAUCAUAGAAACAUAGAAUGGUUUGUGUUGGAAGGGACCUUUAAGAUCAUCUAGAUAACCUCUAAGAUUCAUAUGAGUCAAAGCUGAUUUUGUCUGGUAUUUUGCAACUGCUGUCAAUAGUGUUUGUAUGUCUCUUACACCUUUCUGCCCCCAUCACUCUGCCCUUUAGUUUGGGCUCAUAUACUCACCUGAAGUAUAAAUAAACAGACGAUGAAGGUAUGAAGUAGAGAUGAGUUGCUGCUUUAAGUAUAGAGUGUUUGACACAGAGGUCUUGCAGGAUGUAACCUUUUAAGGCAAGCAGUGGUGAUGAUGUCAGUAGAGGAAGAAGUCAUGUCUGUAAGAAUGUCUUUUUUAACAUUUGAUGGACCCAUCUGACCCAGACUGUGCCUCUGAGGACACUUCUUUGCCUUGGCCAGUUAAAGUUUUAGGGGAUGAACCAAUUGUUAGGAUCUUGGGUGUUGCAUAGUACAGGCCACAUUUGAAUAACUUGACAGGUGACACUUAACUUGUUUCCUUCUGUUAAGAAUUCAGUGUUUCCUUGUGGCAAGCACAGCAGUUUUGUGCAUUUCUCCUCAUGUUUUUAUUUUAACUUUGCUUUUAGGAGGAUAUAUCAUGAGAAGAAAAUCUAGAAAUUUCCGCAUAAUAGAUGGAGAGAUUCCUAGCAGGGACAUGAGCCAAUGUAACUUGAAGCACAGUGAAAUUAAAAUACUGAUGUUUUCUGUUCUGUAGCUGGGGAAACAAAUGCCAGUGCUUCACUAGUCCUAAUCUAUGCCAUAGUUUAUCCCCAUAAACUUUGAUAUAAAGAGUAGAAGAAGGAUUCCUCACUACUCACUGAACUUCAUUCUCGUGAACUGCUGUGCUAGUGGAGCUCAAGUAGAUGAACUGCAUCAGAAGUACCUUCUUCCUCUGGAUUAUCUCUGUUUUUUAAAACAGCAGGUUGUUCCCCAAGCUGGCACUUAACUGUCUGGUAUCUGGAAGAUCUUCUGCUAACAUUUCUGCUGGCCCAGGGUUUGUUUUCUAGCUCUUCAUGUCUACUGUACUGUAUGAUUCAUGACAAAUAAGUAGUAAGUUGUUCCUAUCCAUUAAGGGACAGGAAAGGACAGAGGUUAUUAGUGUGUGGUUAAAAAAAAAAAAAAAAGAAAGAAAGAAAAUGGAAAGUUAUCUGUCUCAUCAUGCUGAGGUGACUAAUUCUUGCAAAGUGUUAUGUAGGUUUAAGGAAGUAUUUUAAAAUGUUUGUAUAGGGUUUGUUCUGAAAAGGUUUGAACUGCAUAGUUUCUGCCUUCCAGGCCAUGGCGUCCAGCUAAAAAUUCCCAUCUUGUUCUAGACCGGGUGGUGAUACUUCUGAUCUAUGUUAUGCUGCAGCAGCCUUUUAAUAUUGUCCAUUUCUGGGUGAUAUUUUAUUUCUGUUUAAUGUGCUUGAGUGAAGUGGUCCAGCGUGACAAGUAAUUUAGUCCUGUGGCUGAGCACUUUAUAUCCGUCCCUUGGCUUCUUCUUUGUAAUUCUCUGUUGAUGCACAGUUGCACAGGAGCUUGCAGCUGCGUAAGGAAAUGCCCCUCCAGGCUAAAAUCAGCAAUAUGUACUUUUUGGUGGCAUCUUUAAAGUAUCACUUCAUAGUAUGGAUGAAAUGCUCAAUGGUUAAGAGGUUAAAUCUACAGAUAAUGAAAUGUCAAGUCUGAAGAAAUGCUUUUAAUAGUGACAGGAAGGUAAUUUUGCAAGGUGGGAAGCAUAGCCUUCCUUGGGAUCCAAGUUUCUAUGCAGACACAGUAGCCCACAGCAAAAAUGUAAAUACAUUGGAUAAAAGGAUUUAGGAGUUCAAAUCUUUUCUAGUAGUGGCCUUGGAUGUGAUAAGGAGAAUGUCAGAGAUAGUAUACUGAAGCUCAUGAUUUCCUUUAUUUUACCAAGAGUCUGUGCCAGUGAGUAUGGAUGUUCCCAGUACUUCAAGUUUUCGAACACUCAAGUAGAGGUAAUAGGAAAACUAUUGAAUUGUAACAUUUUGAAAUACUGACAGCCCUUUCUAAAAGAUGACUGUUUGGAUUUUCACUGGUUGGCAGGCCUAUGGAGCCACAAAGCAAAACCUGCAUUUUUGGCUCCUUCACCAGCUGCAAAUGUUUGAGGGGACCUUGUAAUUAAAGGCAGUGGAACAUUUGUCAGUUAGUGGGAGGUAAAUAUGCAAAAGCAUACAGUAUGGUCACAUUUGAUUCAAGAGAAUUGAAAACUAGAGUAAAAAUGUUUUAUUCGAUUCUUACAGAACAGUUUUAGUGCUAUCUAGAAAGAGCUGCAUAUGAAUCUGAAGAGAAGAGGAGAAAUGUCACUCAGACAUUGCUCUCAUCUGUCUGGCCUUGCCUGCUGGAGUUUCCCAUUCAUCUGGAAAUAGAAGUUGUCUACCUAAUACUUCUUACUUGCCUUUGGACCAAAACUUUGUGCUGAGAUUUUGAAGUAUAUAACACUUUGAUAUUUGAAAGGUUCCUGUGUGUUUAAUGGAACUUCAUGGGUUGUCUAGCAUGAGCUAUUUUCUGUAGGCAGUUGAGUGGUUCCUUGGGGGGGGGGGGGGGAAGAAGGAAUAAAAGUCCUAUUUAGGAAAAAAAACAAAUUGCACAAGAUUGCUGGUCAUUGCCUCUUAUCUGAUUUGAAGAAUCAGAUAGUGAACAGGGAAAAAAAUGCAGUGUUAGUUCAGGCUAUAAACUGAAUAUAAUUGAAGUAUUGAGAGUAAUGUGCCAUGACAAUGCUUUUGCUAUACAUUUUAUUGCCACAGUUAGAAUAUUUUGUUUAGCUUCCCUAUGUUAACCUAUUUAUGAGGUGUGUGCAACUGACAUUUUAACCUGUACAAAGAUGUCUUCCUCCAAGAUGUGACGCUUUAUUUAGUCUAAAAGGACGUUUUUGGCUGCCAUAUUGUGUCAUUACAUAUACCCAUGGCUUGCUUAUUUUUUACUAUUGCUCCUUGACUUCUGCAGGCAUUGCUGCAUCCCAGACUUUUCUUGCCCAUAAUUGUAAUCUUCUAAGGCCUCAUCUGUAUUAUUUCUCUGUCCUCUAUGGUUUUUGUAUAAAAUGUUUCCUAUUUUCUUCUCACUUCAGGCUACUUUAGUAUGAUACUGAUUCUGUCUUCUAUAUCGUUAAUGAAGUUAUUUAAUGGAACUGGAUCUAAUGCUGAUCCCUGUGGUAUCUACUAGCCAUCCAUACCCCCUACAGCUUGACUUGCUGCCAUUUCUCAUUAUCUUUUGUUUGUGGUUCUUCAGCUGAUUUUUUGGUCUGUGUGUGCUUGUAGCCAAGCCAAUUUGAAUUAGUUUUUGUGAACAGGAUUUCAUGGCAAUAACACUGUUCUUUCUGCUCAAAGACAUUGGGUGGUUAGGAACACACAGUAAUCUUUAGCACACUGUGCUGAGGUAAUAGUAGUAUACCUAUUUUUAGAGAUGAACAAGUAGUUUUGUAGAAUACUGUAGAAGACAACAGAUAAAGCUAGGACAAGUAUCUAGAGACCUUGGUUCUAGUCACAGUGUUUAUUACAAGACGUUCAUUUAUGUUUCUCAGGGCUUUGGAGAACGAUCUGUAGUAAUUACUCCUUGACCCUUGAAUCUUUUUGUGUUCAAAUCCUUCAGUAUUUUUCUGUCAAUAGUUGUUUCUAUAAUUACUUUCCUAUUCACUCAGUGGAGGAUGGGGUUUUUGAGGGGGCUGGUAACGAUUACUUCUGUGCAAUCAGAAUUGAGCCUCAGAGAGUCAGGUGUGUUUAAAGGCCUCAUAUCUCCUGAGCCAUGUCGUAUUUCUUAAAUGCAGCCCCCGUUCCCAUCUCCCCCUACCUCACACAUACACGGGUUGCACCAAACAUUAACUCAUUUCACACUUUAGCUGCUUCUCUUAUUUUCUUUAGAUGGUAAUUAUCAGAUAUGAUGUGGAAUUUCUCUCCUCUGUGCUUUUUGUUUCUUGUGGCCGUAUGCAGUGUAACAUUUUUCAGAUCUACCUGGCAUAAAUGUGCAAUUUAAUUUGAGAAGUGAAGGGUGGUUUUGCUUGGUAGCGUGCCUCCCCGCAGAACUUUGUUCAGCUACGUGUUUAAGAGCCAGCUGGUUCAGGACUGAGGUUUCCCUUCUUUUACAAAUUAAGAGAGGAACCUCUAAGCCUGGAAAAGUUUUCCUCUUUUCUUAGGAACUGCUGAAGUAUGUGCAAUACCCAGUCACAAUCAAAGAAAAUUAAAAUUAGAAUCUGUUCUUCGGAAAACGCUGCAACGUCUUCAAAUCCUCCACCCCCCUCUUUAAAAAAUAAAUGAACAAAUUCCCACUGUAGUGCUUUUCCUCAAACAAAAGUGAAAUAGUUCUGUUUAAAGCUUUGGAAACUUUUGGAUUGCUCAUCUGAGUGGCACACGAGGGUAUUUUUACUCUAAGCAGACAUCAAAUAUUUGGACACCCUGUGGGUACCCAAUCAGAGCUGCUGCAGAUACUUUCACAAUGGCAGUAAUAAAAGAAAAAACUCUCUUGGCUUUUAUCAGUGCGAGGUGCCCUUCCCAACAUCAGACUGAGCUGUAAUGUUGCUUUUGCUGUGUUUGCCAGCAGAGCUCUGGGCUUAUACAAUGGUCAGCAAAUCCCUCUUCUAAAGCUGGAUUAACUGUACUUUCCUUCAGUGGAAACUGCUGUUUGGGUAAGAGAGAGAAAUCCAAAAUUCUCAUUUUCUUUCAAGAUAGGCAAGCAAAGAAAACUGAGCUGUUUUGCUGUAGAAACACUCAGUGAAGUGUUGGUUGGAGAAGGAAAAUGUAUCAUCUGUGUCCAAGGCCAUCUGACAUAACGUAGGUCUUCCCUCACUGAGGAAUGUAUGUGAUGGGAGUACAGAAGAAAGCUUGGCUUGGAAGAGGGGAAAGAGGUGAAAAUGAUAUCUAACACAGGCCUUCUAACAGCAGGUGAACCAGGUAAUAAAGUCUGUGCUACAAAAUUCACUGAUUUGAACCCAAAAUGAACAAUUAGAUGCUCAUGGGUUCCUAAAGCACAGAAAUUAGAAAUGAAGUGCACAUGUUGAAGCCAGGGCAGAAUACUCUGAUUAAUACAGUCUUUUUUUCAAAAAUACUACUUCUAUUAUCCUUCUGUGCUUCUUUUGGGAGAGAAAAUCCAUGGUCUUAUGCCUGUCACUGCUGGGACAUUUUUUUGCUUUUCAUUUUCCAUUUAAUUCCAUUAUCCAGUUCUUUUACGGCUCUAGAUUUUUACUGUAUGUUGCUGUCAAAUAUUUGUACUGUAUUCUCAAACCUUUCUAAUGUCUAUUUAUACCUUCUGUCCUCUGCCAAGAACUUUUAGAUGGUAGGAUUAAAAUUAUAAAAGCCGGUGUUGACAUCUGUUUGUUCUGUUUGCUUCUCUUGUGUAGUGAGGUGCCUCAGGAAUAUCUCUGCCUUCUGCUGAAGGUCUUCUGAGAGCUAUGAAAUGCAGAGUUAGACUUCUGUCCCAGGAGGGGAAGGAACCCAGAGCUGUGUGAUGUUGGACCAAAAGAAUGAAUAUUCCUUUCAAAGGCUUCUGGUUCUGAACAGUCUGCAACUGUAAAUCGUGCCAAAUACUGUAGUAGUUCUGGGUUUUCUAAACCCGUUGGUGGCGUUUUUCCUUGGAGUGUAGAAUUGAGUGGAUACUUAGCCAUGGUUAGCUAUGCUGCUGCUUUGUAUGUACGUACAGAAUCGCAUGAUGGUACAAGCAUAUUGAUGGCUGUGAAUUUACUACUACUGCUUUUAAAAAUAGCAAUAAGAAUUUCUCAGUUAGGGUGAAUUGGAAAACAUGCAUCUAAAGGGUAGCAUGGAGUGCAAGAGUCUCUUAAACAGUCAGUUCUUGGUACGUGGAAAGAAAGAACAUGUGGCAAGACAGCAUGGUGUUGCCUAUAGAUGCCAGGAUCUUUGGCAGUUGUUUGAUGCGGUAUUCUCAGCCCUUAUCCAUUUGAGGGAUCUUCAUUUUUGUGGGACUGUGAGAAAAUCCUGCUAUUGCUCACAUGUUAUCAGGGCCUGACAGAGGUGGUGGAUCUUGAAGAGCAGGAACAUAUUUAAGCAACAGCCCGUGGAAAGGUGAAUUCUCUGCAAAACAGGUAAGAGCUGCCAUCUGUCACUGUUCUCACUGAAAACUGAAGAAGCAGCUCUCCUCCUGGAAUAAAAUACUCUGUGAGGACUAGGAAGAAAGUGUUUUCAGUCUCACCUAAGAAAUUGCUAUUGCUAACAAAACAAGGGCUAUGGAGUUCAGUUUGGUAAUUAUUCUGCCUACUUAAGUUUCCUUUGUAAUUUCUGUGACUGUGUUGCAAAUACGGGGCUGUUAUAUAAUAGCUCUUGAGUGUUGCAAAUGACCUCAUCAACAAAAUGAAUCUUUGUAUGUUACAUUUUUCUUUAUGCAUUGUAUUAUUUGUCCUAAUGAAGAGUUACUGGGGGAUGAAGAGGAAAACAGAGCAAGAAUCUUUUGUUUAAGCAACCCAACCCCUGCAAACUCUGGAAAAAAAUAAUAGAAAAAAACAAGUGUGCUAAAAGGAAAAGAGGGAGCUGCAGAAAGAAUUGGAUGGCUCUUUACUGCUGCUUUUCAGCUGGAUAUGAGAUAACUGUUUUGCCAGCUUUAGAUGUAAAAUCACAAAAAUGCUAAGUAUGUUUUUAGGAAGGGAAAGAUGAGGGUAAAAAUUUUACCCCCUUGGAAGACAUUUUGUAUGUCAGAUAAACAUAAUGAUGGAGGAUAUUUGGAAGGAAUCUGAAGAAACUGGGCAUACCAUACUAAAAUGAAGGUGAUGGCAGAUGUUAAGUAUGAGGUCUGUGUUUAGACUGACUUCCUGUUUAAAAAUUUAGAGGCUGUUUGUGUAAUAUUUUGCUAUGAAGAUUGUUUGGUUUCUGGAUUCUGCUGCUCUCACUUCUGGAGGGAACAAAACUACAGAGAGUGAAGAUGAUUUUUGGUUGCUUGUAACCAUGUAAAGAACUUGUGCCAUGGUCAUAUGUGCUAUUGAGAUAGGCAUGGGAAGUUGAGUGACAUUAGCUCAGAAUCUGUCAAUGAUCUCUGUAUAGCUUCUAUAUAUUGUUUUACACAUGUUGCGAUGUCAAAACGUCAUUUCUUUCCUCUUGAAGAAGUGAAAUGAUUUUUGAAUACAAAGGGUUUGUUAAAAUGUCCAAGCCUCCAAUGCGAUGAAAAGUUUUAUGGAAGAUGUUUGUCAUGGCAAAGCCCAGAGGUUCACCUGAUUGUUUCUGUUCUGGAAUUAUCUGCAGAAGUGUAAGAAGAUAUUUCUGCUUUGAUUGCUGGUCCAGUUGCCUGAAGGGCAAGUGCUGACUUCCGUCAUGCUCCUGGACCCUGGACUAACUGGGGUUGAAACGUGACACUGGAGGUUUAUGUUCCACCCUAAUGCCUGCUUGGUUAGUCUUCCAUCUCACACUCUCUAUGUUUAUUAAGUAUUCAGUGUUAAGUAGUAAGUCUUCCGUUGAGGCUUCUCACACCAAAUGCACUACUUCCGCUUGUUGUUGGGGUGACUGGAGAAAUCACACUUCUCAUCUUUCUCCUUCUUAUGUUACAGAGGGGAAAGUCAGUGGAACUCUGAGCACUGGGAAAUAAUCACGGUACACCAAGGGUGAAAUACUGUCCACACUGAAAUAAUUAAGAAAAUUCCUGUUACUUGCAGUGUGUCUCAGGCUUCAUUCCAUCUGUCCUCUUGAUUGGAUAAGCACUAGUCAUCCAGCAUUGAUUCUUCUCUGAUGCUGUUUAUAGGUAGGAGUGAGUUACUGUAUUUGAAAAGAGUCAUCUUUCUUCAAGGUGAGCAGUGUUUGUGCUUUCUGAAAAAUAACAUCCAAAUGUGAGGUCAGAGCAAAUCAUGAUGUAUAAAUCACAUCCUUAUAAAGUCUAGGUUAGUUAACCUAAAGAUCACUAACUGCAAAGCAUAAGGUUCACAAAGAUCAUAAUUUAAGCACUGUAUAUUUACAUAAUGGUAUCACAGGUAUAGGAUAGUGUAUGCGAGAAGGUAUUGGUUCUUGGGUUGUAACAUCGCCUUCAGCUUCCAAGAAUUUCUGUAGCUUGGUGAAAACAGAGAUGGCUGAACAUUGCAACUUCAGUGAGGCAGGAGGAGCAGAUUUAAUAUGUGUGUACGUGUAACUUGGUAUUGAUUGCAGUAAGAUUGCAGUAAGUGUGUUUAACAGUUCAGCAGAUUGAGUUGCAGUUUGUAGAUUUCUCAGGAGUUUGAGACAGCUGCGCUCUUUCUGUGCUGUUGCAAAGGUGAGGUCCAUUUUAGCUGCUGUUCUGCAACUAAAAUAAUUCGCUCUUUUAUGUUUUUUCCCCAACUUCUCUCUCACUUAUGUUUAUCUUAAAUAAUUUCCCCCAAGUUUAAGAAUUGUUUGCAUUGAUGUUUGAUCCUUUCCUGUUGCCGAAUCUACCCUACAACGUGACAUCAUGGGGCCUUGGCAAGAUACAGCAAGUUGCUACUACUUUCAUAUUUGUCUUUUUCUGAGGGUAACGAGGGCAAUGAUCAUCAUCGUGUUGUACUCCAACAAGAAGGGGUAUUGGAGCUGCAAGUAUUUAGGAUAAGUGCUGUGAGUUACUGUUACAGUUACUGUUGAGCCAAAUGGUAGAAAAUAUAUUUAAAAAAAAAAAAAAAGGUAUUUUAAACAGUAUCUACCUUAGGUACAUGUGGUUGUGCCUUUCUAAGUAGUGGUAGACUCCAGCAGGAGCUAGUUUGUCCUGAAUUCCCUGUGCUGUUGGUUUGAAGGAGCUUCUCUUUGAGCUUUGUGGAGGUUUGCGGUUCUGAAUUUCAUCAAAUAUGUUGCACAGAUGAUGUGUUACUUUUCCCCAAGGAUGUCUGGGCUGAGAUUUUUGCCUCACAUUAGAAUUAAACUUGUCUUUAGACAUCUUCAUCACUCACUCAUUCUGAGUCUUUUUGAGUCAGAUUUUGCUGUAGCCAAAACUUGCGGGUUCGUGGAGCAUCCGAGCACUUGGCCCCUUUCUAGUUCUGUGCCCUUCUUUCUGUUCCUUAUUCACCUUGCUCUUCCUGCUUCUACUCCAUUUUGCAUCACACAUUGAUUGCCUUCCCCAACAUCUGCAGUAAUACCACAGGUAUACCUUUUCUGCCAGGCCUUUUAAAGAUGAAUUAUUACAGAGAUGGGAAAUAAAAAGCUUGCACCCAUGGCAGUCUAUGUGCUAGGAGAUAAAGCAGUCAGUUUGGUUAUGAGUGUCCUUGAGAAAUACUGCUUGGGAUGUGCUCGGGAAAUAGUUUGAGUGGGGGCUGGCAACAGGCGGUGCAGCAGAGGGAGCAGGGGCUGGCUGAAAUAUUCUCAGCCAGGAAAAAGGUUAUCAUGGAAUUAUUCCUUCACGAUGCAUGCAUUCCCUUGAAGUUUAAAUCUUAGCUUAACUUACCUAAGUGGAUAUCUCCACUGGAGGGAAUUCUGCUGUUGAGAAAACUUGCAGAACGGUUACAUGCAAUUCUGCUGAUACUGCUUUUAACAAUUGGAAUAGGAAAUGAGGAAAUUAUGAGGCCUUUUUUCUUCUUCUU